CCUACGGGUCGCACCAGUGGGGAGUAAUGCACAAUGGGCGCAAGCCUGAUGCAGCCAUGCCGCGUGUAUGAAGAAGGCCUUCGGGUUGUAAAGUACUUUCAGCGGGGAGGAAGGUGUUGUGGUUAAUAACCGCAGCAAUUGACGUCACCCGCAGAAGAAGCACCGGCUAACUCCGUGCCAGCAGCCGCGGUAAUACGGAGGGUGCAAGCGUUAAUCGGAAUUACUGGGCGUAAAGCGCACGCAGGCGGUCUGUCAAGUCGGAUGUGAAAUCCCCGGGCUCAACCUGGGAACUGCAUUCGAAACCGGCAGGCUAGAGUCUUGUAGAGGGGGGUAGAAUUCCAGGUGUAGCGGUGAAAUGCGUAGAGAUCUGGAGGAAUACCGGUGGCGAAGGCGGCCCCCUGGACAAAGACUGACGCUCAGGUGCGAAAGCGUGGGGAGCAAACAGGAUUAGAUACCCUCGUAGUC
rnacentral:rRNA from 1 species